UACGUAGGGUGCAAGCGUUGUCCGGAAUUAUUGGGCGUAAAGAGCUCGUAGGUGGCUUGUCACGUCGGGUGUGAAAGCUUGGGGCUUAACUCCAGGUCUGCAUUCGAUACGGGCUGGCUAGAGGUAGGUAGGGGAGAACGGAAUUCCUGGUGUAGCGGUGAAAUGCGCAGAUAUCAGGAGGAACACCGGUGGCGAAGGCGGAUCUCUGGGCCAUUACUGACGCUGAGGAGCGAAAGCGUGGGGAGCGAACAGG
rnacentral:rRNA from 1 species